rnacentral:rRNA from 1 species
GCAAGUCGAGGGGUAACAUUGUAGCUUGCUACAGAUGACGACCGGCGCACGGGUGAGUAACGCGUAUAGAACCUACCUUAUAGCAAGGGAAAGCCCAGAGAAAUUUGGAUUAAUACCUUAUAGUAUCCUAAGUGAGCAUUCAUUAAGGAAUAAAGAUUUAUUGCUAUAAGAUGGCUAUGCGUUCUAUUAGUUAGUUGGUAAGGUAACGGCUUACCAAGACGUUGAUAGAUAGGGGCCCUGAGAGGGGGAUC